GGCGUGGGUCACCACUUUGUCAACAAAUGCCUGAGCAAAUUGAUUAAGAACAACAUUUCUCAAGCAGCUACUGCAAGUAAUUGAUUGAAAACUUUUUCAGUCGAUUGCACAGUUGAGUUGCAUACAUAUUCCGUACAAUUGACCACUGAAUGCUAACACCCCAAUAAGUUGUACAACUUGUUUAAGUCGGGGUCCACCUUCAUCAAUUCAUGGAUUUCACCAUCUACGCUCCGUAAUAUCAACAAAAGGUUCAGAGAAUCUGGAGAAAUCACUGCAGCUGCUGGUCAGGAUUCAUGCCAGCUGCUUGAAGGCUUUUAGAAGAAGCAAAUCAUCCAUUGUACAGUACAGGGCUGCGAAUCUUUGGGCGCCACGCGAUUCCAUUCAGAGUCAUUUCUCGAUUCAAUGAAGUACAUUCCUCCACAAGAUGAAGUACAUUCCUCCACAAGAUGAAGUACAUUCCUGCACAAGAUGAAGUACAUUCCUCCACAAGAUGAAGUACAUUCCUG